rnacentral:rRNA from 1 species
GAUGAACGCUGGCGGCGUGCCUAAUACAUGCAAGUCGAGCGAACGGACGAGAAGCUUGCUUCUCUGAUGUUAGCGGCGGACGGGUGAGUAACACGUGGAUAACCUACCUAUCAGACUGGGAUAACUUCGGGAAACCGGAGCUAAUACCGGAUAAUAUUUUGAACCGCAUGGUUCUAAAGUGAAAGACGGUUUUGCUGUCACUUCUAGAUGGAUCCGCGCUGCAUUAGCUAGUUGGUAAGGUAACGGCUUACCAAGGAAACGAUGCAUAGCCGACCUGAGAGGGGGAUCGGCCACACGAGAACGUAGACACGGUCAAGACGCCUGAGGGAGGCAGCAGUAUGGAAUCUGCCGCAGUAGGCGAAAGCCUGACGGAGCAACGCCGCGUGAGUGAUGAAGGUCUUCGGAGCGUGAUGCUCUGUUAUUAGGUAAGAACAUAUGUGUAAGUAACUGUGCACAGCGUGACGGUACCUAAUCAGAAAGCCACGGCUAACUACGUG